UACAGAGGUCUCAACCGUUGUUCGGAUUCAUUGGGCGUAAAGGGUGCGUAGGCGGUCGCGCAAGUCGGAUGUGAAAUCUCAGGGCUCAACCCUGAAACUGCAUUCGAUACUGCGUGGCUAGAGUGCUGGAGAGGAGACUGGAAUUUACGGUGUAGCAGUGAAAUGCGUAGAUAUCGUAAGGAAGACCAGUGGCGAAGGCGAGUCUCUGGACAGCAACUGACGCUGGAGGCACGAAGGCCAGGGGAGCAAACAGG
rnacentral:rRNA from 1 species